rnacentral:piRNA from 1 species
CCAGAGGAAAAGAAUUGUUGCACAGA